UACGAGGGGGGCGAGCGUUGUUCGGAAUUAUUGGGCGUAAAGGGUGCGUAGGCGGUUCCGCAAGUCCUGUGUGAAAUCUUCGGGCUCAACUCGAAGUCUGCACGGGAAACUGCGGGGCUUGAGUGUGGGAGAGGUGAGUGGAGUUCCCGGUGUAGCGGUGAAAUGCGUAGAUAUCGGGAGGAACACCUGUGGCGAAAGCGGCUCACUGGACCGUAACUGACGCUGAUGCACGAAAGCUAGGGGAGCAAACAGG
rnacentral:rRNA from 1 species